AGCUAACGCUGGCGGCGCGCCUAAUACAUGCAAGUCGAACGAGCAGUAAUGCUAGUGGCGCACGGGAGAGUAACACGUGGAUAAUGUCCCCUCGAGAGAUGAAUAACCAGUCGAAAGAUUGGCUAAUACAUCGUAAGACCACAGAGGCUAAGGCCUCAGAGGUAAAAGUCGUAAGACGCUAGAGGAUCAGUCUGCGUCCCAUUAGCUAGUUGGUGAGGUAAUGGCUCAGCAAGGCAACAAUGGGUAGCUGGGCUGAGAGGAUGAUCAGCCUCACUGGGACUGACACACGGUCCAGAUUCCUACGGGAGGCAGCAGUGGGGAAUAUUGCACAAUGGGGGAAACCCUGAUGCAGCAACGCCGCGUGAGUGAUGACGGUCUUCGGAUUGUAAAACUCUGUCUUAAGGGACGAUAAUGACGGUACCUGAGGAGGAAGCCACGGCUAACUACGUGCCAGCAGCCGCAGUAAGAC
rnacentral:rRNA from 1 species